rnacentral:rRNA from 1 species
AUUGAACGCUGGCAGAAGGCUUAACACAUGCAAGUCUUUGGGGAAACGGUAGCUGGACAGCGUAUUCAACGGCGGAGGGGGAGUAACUGGUUAGGAACUUGCCUGGCAGUCGGGGAUAACAGCCGGAAACGGGCGAUAAUACCGCGUAAAGCCAGGCGGAGUCAGUUGGAGAUUUUUGAAAAGCACUGCUGCAGGAGAGCCUAGCGUCCUAUAAGCAUGUUGGGGGGGUAACGGCCACCCAGGGCGAUGAUAGGUAGCGGGCCUGAGGGGGUGGACGGCCACAAGGGGACUGAGAGACGGCCCUUACUACUACGGGAGGCAGCAGUGGGGAAUAUUGGACACUGGGGGCAACCCUGAUCCAGCAAUUCUGUGUGCACGAUGAAGGUUUUCGGAUUGUAAAGUGCUUUCAGCAGGGAAGAAAAAAAUGACGGUACCUGCAGAAGAAGCGACGGCUAAAUACGUG